AAAGUUUAUAUGCCUAGUAAGCAGGAUCUGGGCAUCUUGAAACCAAGAAUCAAAUUCCAAGUUUUCAACCAAAGCUUAAGUGGUGGGAGAGGUGAAGAUCUGACCCACAUGGUCCCACAGAGCUACCUCUGAUUAAUCUGCCUGUGAAGGUCCAACUUUAGCUGAAGAUCCUAAAACCUAGGAAGGUGGCUUCUCAUCUUGGAAGCCUCUCCCGGCCUCCAGGGAGAACUGUCCACUCCUUCCUUUGUGUUGCCACUACACUCUGUACACGUAUGAGGCAUUACAUAAAUGACACGUUUCUAGAUAUUAAAACUAAGAAAAUUCAGCUUGGAGAAAUUCAUCCUACUAUGAAUACUUGUUUAAAACCAAUUGCUGGCUUACACUAAAUGCCUUCUGUGUACAAUGAUUUCCCUAGAAAACAAAAGCUCAGAUCAACAUAAAAUGCCUCCAGUACCAUUGCUAUUUACUAGAAAUGUCUGUAGUUAUUUGAAAAGGAAAAGUACAAAUGACUGAAGUCUAACUUUUUCAAAGGACCAGCUUAAAGACAAUGAUGGUAAUGAUUUUAAAAUACAGUCGAUUUUAAACUUAUUUCAAGGUGACAAGCAACUGAAGGUACUGGUCUCAAAACAGAAAAUUUGAACAAUGGACAAUUACUGAAAUUCCAAAAGGCAAUUCAAAUAUUU
rnacentral:lncRNA from 1 species